rnacentral:rRNA from 1 species
CGCUAGCUACAGGCUUAACACAUGCAAGUCGAGGGGCAUCAGGAAGAAAGCUUGCUUUCUUUGCUGGCGACCGGCGCACGGGUGAGUAACACGUAUCCAACCUGCCCUUUACUCGGGGAUAGCCUUUCGAAAGAAAGAUUAAUACCCGAUAGCAUAAUGAUUCCGCAUGGUUUCAUUAUUAAAGGAUUCCGGUAAAGGAUGGGGAUGCGUUCCAUUAGGUUGUUGGUGAGGUAACGGCCCACCAAGCCUUCGAUGGAUAGGGGUUCUGAGAGGAAGGUCCCCCACAUUGGAACUGAGACACGGUCCAAACUCCUACGGGAGGCAGCAGUGAGGAAUAUUGGUCAAUGGGCGCUAGCCUGAACCAGCCAAGUAGCGUGAAGGAUGAAGGCUCUAUGGGUCGUAAACUUCUUUUAUAUAAGAAUAAAGUGCAGUAUGUAUACUGUUUUGUAUGUAUUAUAUGAAUAAGGAUCGGCUAACUCCGUGCCAGCAGCCGCGGUAAUACGGAGGAUCCGAGCGUUAUCCGGAUUUAUUGGGUUUAAAGGGAGCGUAGGUGGACUGGUAAGUCAGUUGUGAAAGUUUGCGGCUCAACCGGUAAAAAUUGCAGUUGAUACUGUCAGUCUUGAGUACAGUAGAGGUGGGCGGAAUUCGUGGUGUAGCGGUGAAAUGCUUAGAUAUCACGAAGAACUCCGAUUGCGAAGGCAGCUCACUGGACUGCAACUGACACUGAUGCUCGAAAGUGUGGGUAUCAAACAGGAUUAGAUACCCUGGUAGUCCACACAGUAAACGAUGAAUACUCGCUGUUUGCGAUAUACAGUAAGCGGCCAAGCGAAAGCAUUAAGUAUUCCACCUGGGGAGUACGCCGGCAACGGUGAAACUCAAAGGAAUUGACGGGGGCCCGCACAAGCGGAGGAACAUGUGGUUUAAUUCGAUGAUACGCGAGGAACCUUACCCGGGCUUAAAUUGCAGUGGAAUGAUGUGGAAACAUGUCAGUGAGCAAUCACCGCUGUGAAGGUGCUGCAUGGUUGUCGUCAGCUCGUGCCGUGAGGUGUCGGCUUAAGUGCCAUAACGAGCGCAACCCUUAUCUUCAGUUACUAACAGGUCAUGCUGAGGACUCUGGAGAGACUGCCGUCGUAAGAUGUGAGGAAGGUGGGGAUGACGUCAAAUCAGCACGGCCCUUACGUCCGGGGCUACACACGUGUUACAAUGGGGGGUACAGAAGGCAGCUAGCGGGUGACCGUAUGCUAAUCCCAAAAUCCUCUCUCAGUUCGGAUCGAAGUCUGCAACCCGACUUCGUGAAGCUGGAUUCGCUAGUAAUCGCGCAUCAGCCACGGCGCGGUGAAUACGUUCCCGGGCCUUGUACACACCGCCCGUCAAGCCAUGGGAGCCGGGGGUACCUGAAGUACGUAACCGCAAGGAUCGUCCUAGGGUAAAACUGGUGACUGGGGC